AACUUCUGAACCGGUCGUCCAACAGUAGGUUCGUACUUCAUACCAGCAUGAUGGUGUGUUAUGUUUGCUUCACUUACUACUUGUUCGAUUAGAAUCAUAUUGGUGCCGUUGUGUCUAGGAUAUGAGUGAAUUUUUGUGCAUUUGGGCUGUUAGGUAUGAAAUGUGGGAAGUAUAGGCACUACGGCCUGAAGAUUCCUUAAGGUUAACCGGAAAUGACUACAAACUUGUUUAAUUCUUUAGGUGCAGGUGCUGCCGGUUGAUGGCGGCCUAACCAUGAGUGUAACUGAAAGUGAACCAGGGCGAUGUGCAGAAAAAAAAUCUUAGCACAUAGGCUGAAUUUGUAUACUACUUCAAAUUUAUUAGGUAGUACUCCCUCCGUAUGUAUAUCACUUCCGAAAACAAGUUCGGGUUAUUAGGUAGUACUAUUGAAUUUCAGGAUUGAUACUUGAAGAUUUUAAAAAAUUUUGUACCAACUCUACUGUUAUGUAUAGGAAGAACAUGUUCUAAAAUAUUUAUAAUUCAUAUGAAAGUGAUCAUUUGAUUAUUAAAUCAUGCCGCUAAUAAGAUAAGUUCUUGUCACUUAUUUCUUGAAAAAUUUCCAUUGUUCAGGUUCUGACUUCAUUUGUUGAGCUAUUUUAAUUUUUGUAUGAGAGAAAUGAAAAACUUUAUGAUUGGUAUGUCGAAACUUUGAUCAGUUCAUUGUGGAAUAAUGACGGUGAUUUGGAUUCUUAACUAAAUUAUGAUAGGCUUCCAUUUUGGUGGCUCUGAUUUGGUUUUAUGUGUUUUUUGUUACCAGGUAGAAAAUACUUAAUGCUGGUAUCCCAGAGUUUUACUUACUGGAAUAGAAACGAGGCUUAUUUAUUGAGAAUUUUAGCUGUAGUGUGUGUCAGUGCCCUCGUACUUUUCAAGUGAAACCUUGAAGAAAAGCAUAAUGAAGGUUAUGCUGAUAGCGGUGGCGCGGAAAGAAUAUAAAAUUGAGGGUACAAAAGUAUUAGGAUCUCCAUGCCGGCAAAUGUAGUGUGUUGCACUGAUUGCAAUUACUUCUUUGCUGUUAUUUGUUGUUACUGCCAUAGUUUAUUGUUUGUGCUUAU
rnacentral:lncRNA from 1 species